rnacentral:misc_RNA from 1 species
UACGUAGGGGGCGAGCGUUGUCCGGAUUUAUUGGGCGUAAAGGGCGUGUAGGCGGUUUCGUAAGUCAGGGGUGAAACCCCAGGGCUCAACCCUGGGCCUGCCUCUGAAACUGCGGAACUUGAGUGCUCUAGAGGGCAGUGGAAUUGCCGGUGUAGCAGUGAAAUGCGUAGAGAUCGGCAGGAACACCAGUGGCGAAGGCGACUGCCUGGGGAGUAACUGACGCUGAGGCGCGAAAGCUGGGGGAGCAAACGGG